UUUAGGUUAGAAACCAGAAAAGGUUUCUCACCCACAGGGUGGUUGGGCACUGGAACAGGCUCCCCAGAGAAGUGGUCACAGCACAGCCUGGCAGAG